GAAUAUACCCAUGUGACAAACCUGCGCAUGUAAAAUGAAAGUUAAAAAAAGUACAUAAACUUUUCCAGUUAGCAAGCAUCUUUUCUUUUUCCUAAUUCUCCCAAUUUUAGUGGAACCAUCUGAAUAGAUUUGGGCACCUUAUGUUGCUAGAUAUGAGAAAUGUGCCAUUUAUCCCUUUAUGUUAAAAAAAGAGGACCAUGUAAUGUGUAAAAUGCUUUAUUAUGCUAUGGUUUUAGAUUCUUUAGUUGAAUGAUAAAUGUCAUAAUCUCGUCUAAACUAGUCCCAUAACUCUCUUUUAUCUCCUAGGCUGAAUGUAUUUAUUUUCUUUUGUCCUCAAAAUUAUUUUGGAAUUAUGACUUGCCAUUAAUAUUCAAAAAGUUAUCAAAUAGAAGAGGAAAGCAUUCUGAAGCAAGCCAGUUCGCAAGCUCCAAGCCUGGAUGUAUACAAGAAUGUAGCUAUUAGCAUUCAUGGUUCCCUGGGUGCCCACCAAAAAUGUGUUCCAGCAGCACCAUGAGCUCAUGCAGUAAGAGGAGUUACACAGAAACACCAGUCUGAAUUGAGAAGAGUCGUGAGCACACUUAAAGUCUGGGAACUUGCUUGUAUUUCCAUUGCCCUGUUAAGCCUUUAGCUAAGUGGGAGCUGUGGCUUGAACUGCAUCCAUUAUAAGGACAUAAAACUAUGUUUGAAGUUUGUCUGUGUUCCAGUACACAGCAGAAAUCCAGACAGAGCUGGUACUUUCAUGAAGGGACACCUGUACCAUGUUCAUAGGAUCUCUGGUGAACAAAUAAAUAAUAAUCGUUACUAUUACAGUGACAAUUAGAAUACAUUGA